CCUACGGGUGGCAGCAGUGGGGGAUAUUGGACAAUGGGGGGAACCCUGAUCCAGCGACGCCGCGUGAGUGAAGAAGUAUUUCGGUAUGUAAAGCUCUGUCAGCAGGGAAGAAAGCAAUGACGGUACCUGACCAAGAAGCCCCGGCUAACUACGUGCCAGGAGCCGCGGUAAUACGUAGGGGGCAAGCGUGAACCGGAAUUACUGGGUGUAAAGGGAGCGUAGACGGCUGUGCAAGUCUGGAGUGAAAGGCUGGGGCCCAACCCCCGGAAUUGUCUGGAAACUGUACGGUUGGGGUGCAGGAGAGGGUAGCCGAAUUCCUAGGGGAGCGGUGAAAUGCGUAGAUAUUAGGAGGAACACCAGGGGCGAAGGCGGCUUACUGGACUGUAACUGACGUUGAGGCUCGAAAGCGUGGGGAGCAAACAGGAUUAGAUACCCGGGUAGUC
rnacentral:rRNA from 1 species